rnacentral:other from 1 species
UUUUUCCUGGUAUGUUAGCCAGUGCCUAGUGUCUUUUGAGCCGAUGCUAAAUUGCUUGGGAUCCAGAAUGUCUUUGCUGUUGCGCAAGUCCACUAUAAGUGGGAAGCCUGAUGCGAAGCAGAGGAACCCACUUGAACUUAAAGGGUUCAAGGCAAAUGGUGCAGCGGCACGCUGGGGAAAGC